UAUAUAUAAGUAAAUAUUGUUGACUAUUUAUUAUUCGCUAAAAUAUGUCCAAUUUUUUAUCUUGUGACAAUACGCUGAGAAGAGUAAUAAGUUAAGUUAGAUUGAGCCCAAUAAAUUGAAUAGAAUUACAGUCUAUAUUAGAUAUAACAACAAGGAACUUAAUAAUAAACUUAACGUCCAAAUGAGUUAAAUUAUGUCAAAGCCCAUAAACUCACUUUUCAGUCAGUUGAUUAACGUCGACAAUCAUAACUACACAUGUUAUGCAUGUCAUAUCUGUGUUGGCACAAAUUGGGGUACUAUCCAUAGCACCGAGGAUUUGGUGCCAUCGAGUUUUCCACCGUUAGAUUUAAUCCUUUGAUUAUUUUUACCCGUUAGAUUAUACUAUUCAACUAACCACUCACUCAAGCAUACGGGGCCCACAUCAUCCUAACCAUCCAUUUCUCAAUCCAAGGACAAAAAAAUCAAUAGCACCAAUAGCUUAGUACUGUUGAUAGUAUUCCAGCCUAGUUAUAUAUAUAUAUAUAUAUAUAUAUAUAUAUAU
rnacentral:lncRNA from 1 species